rnacentral:lncRNA from 1 species
UCAGGAUGAUUUUGCUUCACAAUCAUAUUGAUCAGCAUAAUUUUGUCUCACAAUCAAAAUGUACACGAUCAUAUUACCACAAUCAUUUUGUCCGCAAUCAUAUUACUGGGAUCAUUUUACUGGACACCUAUUAUAAGGAUGAGACGAAAUUGAUGUUGGUAUGAUUAGGUUCUUAACUGGCUGAUCUGGUAUUAUUAUGAUUUUUUCUAUCUUUCGACGCCGUUGUAAUAUUGAUAUAAUAUAUUUUCGUUAUUAAUUCCCCGAUUUGUCCUUCGUCUUUUGACGAUAUUUCUGAUAUCCGAACUUCGGAGCAUGUUGACGUCUCAUUUUUUGAUCUGAAUGUAGAAGAAGGAUGUAGAGCUGAAAUGUCUCCCGAAAAUGGUUGUUCCUGUUCUCUAGGGCCAUUGGAUCGAUUAGGUAACAAAACUUCUUCUUUUAAUUGGUUUGAUUACUAAUGUGUUUCUUUACGGCAAGAUCAAUACUCAGAGAUGUCUUAUUUCUCCAUUGAGUCAUGAACCCUAUAUAUUUUGACAUUUUAAUGCCCAAGAUAGGGAUGAUUAAAAUUCAUUGGAAGACUAUGUGUCCCGAAUUCGGUACCUAUAUUGGGUCGGCGAAGCGAUGUUUGCCAUAUUUGUUAUGAUCAUUCUCAAGAAUUGGCCUCAUUAUUCAGAGAAUCCAUACAGAAAAAUCCUUUGGUUGAUUGGAUUUAAAUAUUAACGACAGUAUUAAGGAGCACAUGCACCAUGUCCAAAGCGAAUACAGAGAUUACUUUACGAAGGCUGAAUACGCAAAAAAUCAUCAAGAAUCUGUUACGUUAUUGACUGUCGACUUUUCGUCAGCUAAAUAAAUCCCUUCUCGUCAAUUCAAAUUGAAAAAACACAUUUCAUUUCUCUAUUUAAAGUUAAUCUUUUUGCUAUUCAGAAUAUCCAAUAUAUAUAUUUUUGAUGUGGCUGAGCAGUUUCAUUUGUAUCUCAUAUUUCAGUUUUUGUAAUCUUGUUCUAACAUAAUUUUAGCAAACUAUGAACAAAGGCUCAAAUUGUGUGGCAUUUCUCUUAUAUCAUUAAUUGCAGCGUAUAAGUGUUGUUCUUCAUCUUGAAAUACAAUGUCCCAAUUGUGGAAGCCAGAGCAAAAAUGAUGUAAUUACGGCUUUUGUAGCAUAUAUUGUUAUUUGUGGUGCAUUUGAUGAAGUUAUAAUCAACAAAAAAUUGAAUCCGUGGAAAAUUUAGUAUAGAAGUUGUUGUCAAAUAUUCCACUAAAUUCAAUGUUAUAUCCUCGAAGACGGGUGACAUUUUUCGAUAAGUAUUUCUGUCCUCUAAAAUGAAUAAAGAACUAUCACAUAUUUAUCUUCAAAUCUACUUCUCCUGGAGUCGUACGCGUAGAAGAAUGGUCUGAUAGUUGACAAACUCUUUCUCUGAACUAACUAAAGCAUGGAAUUUUUUCCAAUGAAUUGCCUCUCACGAUUCCUGAAAUGUAUAUAUCUAAAGGGAAAAAAACUUAUCGGAAGAAAGAAUGAAGUAUCUUAUGAGGAAUGUCGUUCCUUUACUUUCUUGUAAUGAAAAGAAACAACUUUUUUUAAAAAUCCAUAAAAAAUGAAACGAACUUAUUCAACAAAAAAAUAAUAAAUAUUCAUUUUCCUCAAUGUAAAGAUUUCUUGCUUACGUUCACUUCUCUCCUACAUCUGUCAAUUUAUCCAAAGUUUCUUCAUCAUUUUUAUCUUCACUAUCUAAUUAUUUGGAAGAGAAUACUCACUCCUUCAGCAUUAUCAGCUAAGUUAUUACAAGGGAUCACUCAACAUUAAGUUGUUUACCUAUAUUAACAUUUAAUCCACCCCUUUUCUAUUAUCAGACUCGACAUACUAUAAGGAUUGUACAAGUAACCUAUUUUUACCCAAAACAAGGACUCUCGCAUGAAUAUACAAAUGAUGUGUUUAAAUCAUAUGUAAAAGAAAGAAAAUGUGUAAAUAUUUGAAGAAGGAGAUUGAUUAAACAAUGCGAAAUUUUUAGAACAUAUAAGUAUCUCCUAAAAAUUAAUAAUAUAAAAUACCAUAUAUAGUUGUUAUUAGAAUAAACCAAACAUUAAUUUA